CGGAAAGAUGGUGAACUAUGCCUGGGCAGGGCAAAGCCAGAGGAAACUCUGGUGGAGGUCCGUAGCAGUCCUGACGUGCAAAUCGGACCGUAUGGAAUCUCUUGGCCUUGGGGCAAAAAGUUUUAGUUCUCUUUAAUCUCUG
rnacentral:ncRNA from 1 species